rnacentral:tRNA from 1 species
UCCCUUUUGGCUCAGUUGGUAGAGCAUGGUGUUUGCAACGCCAGGGUUGUGGGUUCGAUUCCCACGGGGGAC